AACGAACGCUGGCGGCAGGCCUAACACAUGCAAGUCGAACGAGAAGCCACCUUCGGGUGGUGGAAAGUGGCAGACGGGUGAGUAACGCGUGGGAACGUGCCUUUCGGUUCGGGAUAACCCAGGGAAACUUGGGCUAAUACCGGAUACGCCCUUCGGGGGAAAGAUUCAUUGCCGAAAGAUCGGCCCGCGUCGGAUUAGCCAGUUGGUGGGGUAAGAGCCUACCAAGGCGACGAUCCGUAGCUGGUCUGAGAGGAUGACCAGCCACACUGGGACUGAGACACGGCCCAGACUCCUACGGGAGGCAGCAGUGGGGAAUAUUGGACAAUGGGCGAAAGCCUGAUCCAGCCAUGCCGCGUGGGUGAAGAAGGCCUUAGGGUUGUAAAUCCCUUUCAGCGGGGACGAUAAUGACGGUACCCGCAGAAGAAGUCCCGGCUAACUCCGUGCCAGCAGCCGCAGUAAAAC
rnacentral:rRNA from 1 species